GGAUGUAACAGCAAUCUGGCUAUGAUAUUUGUCACCACCAGGGAUGAUUGUCUGAUAUGAAUACUAGUUGUGUAUCACCUUUCUCCCUCACCACUUCCUGUGUGUCCUUCCCCAGAUUACAUUCUCAGUGGAAGAGGAUACUAUGACUUGAAUAGAGAUGGAGCAUUCUUUGGUUGUGGGUAUACGAGUAGUUGUGCUCUCCAGCUUCAAACAAACUCUCAGUAUCAUAAAAAUAACAUGACUGUAACAAAUAAAUUAUGAUAAUUUUAAAAAUUAUCAAAAAU
rnacentral:snRNA from 1 species